rnacentral:misc_RNA from 1 species
GAUGAAGAACGCAGCGAAAUGCGAUAAGUAGUGUGAAUUGCAGAAUUCAGUGAAUCAUCGAAUCUUUGAACGCACAUUGCGCCCCUUGGUAUUCCAUGGGGCAUGCCUGUUCGAGCGUCAUUUGUACCUUCAAGCUCUGCUUGGUGUUGGGUGUUUGUCUCGCCUCUGCGUGUAGACUCGCCUCAAAACAAUUGGCAGCCGGCGUAUUGAUUUCGGAGCGCAGUACAUCUCGCGCUUUGCACUCAUAACGACGACGCCCAAAAGUACAUUUUUACACUCUUGACCUCGGAUCAGGUAGGGAUACCCGCUGAACUUAAGCAUAUCAAUAAGCGGAGGA